UUCGCGCAGGCGCAUCCGGGCUCACGCCGUGGAAAAGUGAAGCGUUUCCUCUCAGCGCUUACUUUCCCCAAAGCUGUUCUUUUUCCUUGCGUUGAUAGUCCUCGGCUUCUGGCCACACGGGCCCCUUUCUCAGAUUCAGCCUUCCCCCCACUGCCUGUCUUAUCACCAGAGUCCACAUAUGAAGGACCUAGCAGGUCCUCUUGAUAAAUCUGUGCGUGACUGUUUCACAAAAGCACCUGGAGCUUAGCCUGCAUUCUAAGGCUUGCUUCAGACGUCGUGUGCCAGACUUGGAUCCAAGGAGCCAAAGGAGUACAAAGACCUAACAGAUAUGUUGAAGCUAUCCCGAAGACGCGACUCAGCAUCCAGGAUUUGAAACAUAGAAUGUUGUGUGGGUGUACUGUCAUGAUCUGAUAAUUCGCUUGGGUCAUUGUCUUCCAUAUCUUGACCCUGGAGAUCCUCAGAAUCUGGUUCCAGAAUCCCUGCCCUCCUUUGAGGCUGAACAGCAACUGGAGCAACCCAAGGAGCUUGAAGAGAUGCUGAAGCUGCAAAACUCCCUGGGCUCAAUGUGACUCUUUGAUUAUUGUUGCUUAUCGAAGCAGCUAAUUGUUGAAGCUUCUCCUGAUUUGUGAUUUAAUUUUCACACAAAUGGCUGGAGGGGUGACCGGAUACACAGUUGAGAGUACAAUGACUCCUGAUGCCCUCACAUUCCGUGAAAGUGUGUCAUCAAAGCCAGCCUUGAUUACCUCUUACAAACAGAUGGAGCUGGUACCAUUCAUGAAGAUGGUAGCUGUCCUGCUCAGAGGAUAUUGCUGCACAUGUGUCCAUUAGUAAUCACACUACCAUCCCUGAGAAAUCUACAAGUGCCAGGCUGCUUGGGACCUGGGGCCAGCAAUGCCCAUGAGAGCAGGAGAAUGGCUGAGUCAAGUGUUGGCAUGUUGUCAAUCACAGAAACACUAGGUUGUUUUCAGAUGGCUCAUGAAAGCUGGGGACUGUGACCAUCACUGGACGUGAAGGCCACGCUGGAGAAUCACAAGACAGAUUUGGGGAAAACCAGUCCCUUAAUAGUUGAAAACUUUUACUACCUGCUAAGCUUGGUGACGCCAGCAUCAUGGAAGGCAGGGCUGGGGUAGCACCUGGCUGUGGAGGGAGACUGUGGCUCUAGGAAUUGAAAGCACAGGACUCUGAAAUCGCUGGUUAGAACUGUGGGAGACGGCAGGUGUUCUGACAAAGGUCAUCUUUCAAUGGCGGAGCCUCCAGCAAGCGCAGCAGAGUCCACGGCCAGCACCUCUCACCCUAAUGCACUGAAAGGCAAAGCACAUACACUUCCAGUGUCUCACCCCUUCUCUGCUCCCUCGGCCUCUGGAGCACAAGGUGUGACCUGGCUGCUCCUGGUCCCACUCACUGCAUCCCACAGGGAUGUGUUGACUUUACCCCAUUCUCCUCCCCCCUCUUCAGGGUCCUUAGAUCCCAAUGUGCCAUAACUGCUGUAUUUGUCAAGAAGAAGAGACACUGGCUCCAUCAUUCCUGCCUGUGCCAGGUGAAGCACGGUUCAAGAACUUUCCUCUGGUUCAUGUUUUCCCUCCUGUUUCAUCAAUACCAACUACAAAAAUCACUUAAUUAUUUCUCAUAUUAUUUGUGUGGACCCUGUUUUGUUUCCUGUUUUUGAAGAGUUGUGAUUCUUGUGUCCCUCUGAAGAUGUUGCUCUUGUUCAUACUCAGGAAGCCUUCUAGAAAGCACCUGUGUGACUAAAGCUGACAGACUUAUUCCUGAAGGCUGUGUGCAGAGGAAGUAAAGCUGUAUGUGACUGUUACAGAGUGUGUGUUAGUGUGUACAUGGUGCACACGUGUGGGUGCAAGUUCCUGUGUGCUGGCCAGAGGAGCACCUUGGUGUCAUUCCUCAGGCACUGUCCCCCAUUUUCUCUUUUCUGAGAAAGUUGGUCAAUGACCCACAAUAUGACACGCAGGCUAGGCUGCCUGGACACGGAGCCUGAGCUGAAAAGGGGAUUGAAAAUUCCAACUGCUCCCCCAGUGCACAGCUUCUCAAUGAGCUUCUAGGACAACAGUCAGGGUCUCAUGCCUGCAAGGUGAGUGCAUGACUAGCUGAACUGUCUCCCCAGUGCUAGAAAGAACGUUCAGCGUUUUGAACGACUGUUGCUUGUCGAUGAAGCCUGAUCUUUUCAUCCAAUGAAUGACAUUAUUGCGUUGAAUCUCUGUGAUUUCAGACAUACAAAUUCUUAAAGCUUCAGAUUGUUUGCAUGAUAUAUGUUCCUUUUAUCUCAAUUCUCUAUGUCAAAAUAGAUUCUCUAUCUCAUGUAUGCUCUUUCAAAAAAGAAAACAAACAACACCUGCCAGAGGGAUCCACAGCCAAGUACCAGGCCGAGCUCCAAGAGUCCAGUCGAAGACAGAGAAGAAGUAUUCCAUGAGCAAGGGGCAUCAAGCUCAUGAUGGGGAAACCUACAGAGACAACCAAACCAAAUUAGGGGGAAACUCAUGAAAUUUAGACCAACACCCGUGAAGCCUCCACUGGACUAAACUCGGCCCUCUGCAUAAGUCAGAUAGUUGUGUAGCUUGAUCUGCAUAAGGGCCCCCUGGCAGUGGGAUCAGGAUCCAUCCCUGGUGAAUGAGCUGGCUUUUGGGAGCCCACUACCUAUGGUGGGACACCUCGAACAGCCUUGAGG